CCUACGUGAGGCAGCAGUGGGGAAUAUUGGUCAAUGGGCGCGAGCCUGAACCAGCCAAGUAGCGUGAAGGAUGACUGCCCUACGGGUUGUAACCUUCUUUUAUAAAGGAAUAAAGUGAGGCACGUGUGCCUUUUUGCAUGUACUUUAUGAAUAAGGAUCGGCUAACUCCGUGCCAGCAGCCGCGGUAAUACGGAGGGGCCGAGCGUUAUCCGGAUUUAUUUGGUUUAAGGGGAUCGUAGAGUGGAUGUUAAGUCAGGUGUGAAAGUUUGGGGCUAAACCGUAAAACUGCAAUUCGUACUGGAAGUCUUGAGUACGGUUGAGGUAGGCGGAAUUCGUGGUGUAGCGGUGAAAUGCUUAGAUAUCACGAAGAACUCCGAUUGCGAAGGCAGCUUACUAAACCGCCACUGACAUUGAGGCUCGAAGGUGUGGGUAUCAAACAGGAUUAGAUACCCGGGUAGUC
rnacentral:rRNA from 1 species